GAGUUUGAUCGUGGCUCAGGAUGAACGCUGGCGGCGUGCUUAACACAUGCAAGUCGAGCGAAGCGCCUAAGAAAGAUUCUUCGGAUGAAUUCUUUUGCGACUGAGCGGCGGACAGGUGAGUAACGCGUGGGUAACCUGCCUCAUACAGGGGGAUAACAGUUAGAAAUGACUGCUAAUACCGCAUAAGACCACGGUACUGCAUGGUACAGCGGUAAAAACUCCGGUGGUAUGAGAUGGACCCGCGUCUGAUUAGCUAGUUGGUGGGUAACGGCCUACCAAGGCGACGAUCAGUAGCCGACCUGAGAGGGUGACCGGCCACAUUGGGACUGAGACACGGCCCAAACUCCUACGGGAGGCAGCAGUGGGGAAUAUUGCACAAGUGGGGGAAACCCUGAUGCAGCGACGCCGCGUGAGCG
rnacentral:rRNA from 1 species